rnacentral:rRNA from 1 species
AGCGUACACGGUGGAUGCCCUGGCAGUCAGAGGCGAUGAAGGACGUGCUAAUCUGCGAUAAGCGUCGGUAAGGUGAUAUGAACCGUUAUAACCGGCGAUUUCCGAAUGGGGAAACCCAGUGUGUUUCGACACACUAUCAUUAACUGAAUCCAUAGGUUAAUGAGGCGAACCGGGGGAACUGAAACAUCUAAGUACCCCGAGGAAAAGAAAUCAACCGAGAUUCCCCCAGUAGCGGCGAGCGAACGGGGAGCAGCCCAGAGCCUGAAUCAGUAUGUGUGUUAGUGGAAGCGUCUGGAAAGGCGCGCGAUACAGGGUGACAGCCCCGUACACAAAAAUGCACAUAUUGUGAGCUCGAUGAGUAGGGCGGGACACGUGGUAUCCUGUCUGAAUAUGGGGGGACCAUCCUCCAAGGCUAAAUACUCCUGACUGACCGAUAGUGAACCAGUACCGUGAGGGAAAGGCGAAAAGAACCCCGGCGAGGGGAGUGAAAAAGAACCUGAAACCGUGUACGUACAAGCAGUGGGAGCACGCUUAGGCGUGUGACUGCGUACCUUUUGUAUAAUGGGUCAGCGACUUAUAUUCUGUAGCAAGGUUAACCGAAUAGGGGAGCCGAAGGGAAACCGAGUCUUAACUGGGCGUUAAGUUGCAGGGUAUAGACCCGAAACCCGGUGAUCUAGCCAUGGGCAGGUUGAAGGUUGGGUAACACUAACUGGAGGACCGAACCGACUAAUGUUGAAAAAUUAGCGGAUGACUUGUGGCUGGGGGUGAAAGGCCAAUCAAACCGGGAGAUAGCUGGUUCUCCCCGAAAGCUAUUUAGGUAGCGCCUCGUGAAUUCAUCUCCGGGGGUAGAGCACUGUUUCGGCAAGGGGGUCAUCCCGACUUACCAACCCGAUGCAAACUGCGAAUACCGGAGAAUGUUAUCACGGGAGACACACGGCGGGUGCUAACGUCCGUCGUGAAGAGGGAAACAACCCAGACCGCCAGCUAAGGUCCCAAAGUCAUGGUUAAGUGGGAAACGAUGUGGGAAGGCCCAGACAGCCAGGAUGUUGGCUUAGAAGCAGCCAUCAUUUAAAGAAAGCGUAAUAGCUCACUGGUCGAGUCGGCCUGCGCGGAAGAUGUAACGGGGCUAAACCAUGCACCGAAGCUGCGGCAGCGACACUAUGUGUUGUUGGGUAGGGGAGCGUUCUGUAAGCCUGUGAAGGUGUGCUGUGAGGCAUGCUGGAGGUAUCAGAAGUGCGAAUGCUGACAUAAGUAACGAUAAAGCGGGUGAAAAGCCCGCUCGCCGGAAGACCAAGGGUUCCUGUCCAACGUUAAUCGGGGCAGGGUGAGUCGACCCCUAAGGCGAGGCCGAAAGGCGUAGUCGAUGGGAAACAGGUUAAUAUUCCUGUACUUGGUGUUACUGCGAAGGGGGGACGGAGAAGGCUAUGUUGGCCGGGCGACGGUUGUCCCGGUUUAAGCGUGUAGGCUGGUUUUCCAGGCAAAUCCGGAAAAUCAAGGCUGAGGCGUGAUGACGAGGCACUACGGUGCUGAAGCAACAAAUGCCCUGCUUCCAGGAAAAGCCUCUAAGCAUCAGGUAACAUCAAAUCGUACCCCAAACCGACACAGGUGGUCAGGUAGAGAAUACCAAGGCGCUUGAGAGAACUCGGGUGAAGGAACUAGGCAAAAUGGUGCCGUAACUUCGGGAGAAGGCACGCUGAUAUGUAGGUGAAGUCCCUCGCGGAUGGAGCUGAAAUCAGUCGAAGAUACCAGCUGGCUGCAACUGUUUAUUAAAAACACAGCACUGUGCAAACACGAAAGUGGACGUAUACGGUGUGACGCCUGCCCGGUGCCGGAAGGUUAAUUGAUGGGGUUAGCCGCAAGGCGAAGCUCUUGAUCGAAGCCCCGGUAAACGGCGGCCGUAACUAUAACGGUCCUAAGGUAGCGAAAUUCCUUGUCGGGUAAGUUCCGACCUGCACGAAUGGCGUAAUGAUGGCCAGGCUGUCUCCACCCGAGACUCAGUGAAAUUGAACUCGCUGUGAAGAUGCAGUGUACCCGCGGCAAGACGGAAAGACCCCGUGAACCUUUACUAUAGCUUGACACUGAACAUUGAGCCUUGAUGUGUAGGAUAGGUGGGAGGCUUUGAAGUGUGGACGCCAGUCUGCAUGGAGCCGACCUUGAAAUACCACCCUUUAAUGUUUGAUGUUCUAACGUUGACCCGUAAUCCGGGUUGCGGACAGUGUCUGGUGGGUAGUUUGACUGGGGCGGUCUCCUCCUAAAGAGUAACGGAGGAGCACGAAGGUUGGCUAAUCCUGGUCGGACAUCAGGAGGUUAGUGCAAUGGCAUAAGCCAGCUUGACUGCGAGCGUGACGGCGCGAGCAGGUGCGAAAGCAGGUCAUAGUGAUCCGGUGGUUCUGAAUGGAAGGGCCAUCGCUCAACGGAUAAAAGGUACUCCGGGGAUAACAGGCUGAUACCGCCCAAGAGUUCAUAUCGACGGCGGUGUUUGGCACCUCGAUGUCGGCUCAUCACAUCCUGGGGCUGAAGUAGGUCCCAAGGGUAUGGCUGUUCGCCAUUUAAAGUGGUACGCGAGCUGGGUUUAGAACGUCGUGAGACAGUUCGGUCCCUAUCUGCCGUGGGCGCUGGAGAACUGAGGGGGGCUGCUCCUAGUACGAGAGGACCGGAGUGGACGCAUCACUGGUGUUCGGGUUGUCAUGCCAAUGGCACUGCCCGGUAGCUAAAUGCGGAAGAGAUAAGUGCUGAAAGCAUCUAAGCACGAAACUUGCCCCGAGAUGAGUUCUCCCUGACUCCUUGA